rnacentral:misc_RNA from 1 species
GAUGAAGAACGCAGCGAAAUGCGAUAAGUAGUGUGAAUUGCAGAAUUCAGUGAAUCAUCGAAUCUUUGAACGCACAUUGCGCCCCUUGGUAUUCCAUGGGGCAUGCCUGUUCGAGCGUCAUUUGUACCCUCAAGCUUUGCUUGGUGUUGGGCGUCUUGUCGUAUUACGACUCGCCUUACAUACAUUGGCAGCCGGCACUUUGGCCUAGGAGCGCAGCACAUUUUGCGAUCGUAGCCCGUUGUACUGGCGUCCAUCAAGAACAUUUACCACGUUUGACCUCGGAUCAGGUAGGGAUACCCGCUGAACUUAAGCAUAUCAAUAAGCGGAGGA